AGCUCCAAUAGCGUAUAUUAAAGUUGUUGCAGUUAAAAAGCUCGUAGUUGGAUUUCUGAUUUGAACGUCCGGUCCGCUUCCUCUGGAAGUGUGUACUAAGGGCGUUUGGGUCUUUUUUUGUGAGGAAAUUUUUCUGUCAUUAAGUUGAUGGUUGAAUGGACUUGCAUCUUUUACUGUGAAAAAAUUAGAGUGUUUAAAGCAGGCGUUUGCUCAUUUGAAUACAUUAGCAUGGAAUAAUAAGAUACGACUUUGGUCUAUUUUGUUGGUUUGCACACCAAAGUAAUGAUUAAUAGGGACAGUUGGGGGUAUUCAUAUUUCAGCGUCAGAGGUGAAAUUCUUGGAUCGCUGAAAGAUGAGCUUAGGCGAAAGCAUUUACCAAGGAUGUUUUCAUUA
rnacentral:rRNA from 1 species